UACGAGGGGGGCAAGCGUUGUUCGGAAUUAUUGGGCGUAAAGGGCUCGUAGGCGGCCAACUAAGUCAGACGUGAAAUCCCUCGGCUUAACCGGGGAACUGCGUCUGAUACUGGUUGGCUUGAGUGUGGGAGAGGGAUGCGGAAUUCCAGGUGUAGCGGUGAAAUGCGUAGAUAUCUGGAGGAACACCGGUGGCGAAGGCGGCAUCCUGGACCAUUACUGACGCUGAGGAGCGAAAGCCAGGGGAGCAAACGGG
rnacentral:rRNA from 1 species